rnacentral:rRNA from 1 species
GACGAACGCUGGCGGCGUGCUUAACACAUGCAAGUCGAACGGAAAGGCCCUGCUUUUGUGGGGUGCUCGAGUGGCGAACGGGUGAGUAACACGUGAGUAACCUGCCCUUGACUUUGGGAUAACUUCAGGAAACUGGGGCUAAUAUCGGAUAGGAGCUCCUGCUGCAUGGUGGGGGUUGGAAAGUUUCGGCGGUUGGGGAUGGACUCGCGGCUUAUCAGCUUGUUGGUGGGGUAGUGGCUUACCAAGGCUUUGACGGGUAGCCGGCCUGAGAGGGUGACCGGCCACAUUAGGACUGAGAGACGGACCAGACUCCUACGGGAGGCAGAAGUGGAGAAUAUUGCAGAAUGAGCGGGAGCCUGAUGCAGCAACGCCGCGUGCGGGAUGACGGCCUUCGGGGUAUGAACCACUUUCGACGGUGACGAAGAGUGAGUGACGGUAAUGAGUAAAGAAGCACCGGCUAAAUACGUG